CCCUUAGACGUUCUGGGCCGCACGCGCGCUACACUGACCAGUGCAACAAGCAUCCGUCCUUGGCCGACAGGCUCGGGCAAUCUUUGAACGCUGGUCGUGAUGGGGAUAGACUUUUGCAAUUUUUGGUCUUCAACGAGGAAUUCCUAGUAAACGCAAGUCGUCAACUUGCAUUGAUUACGUCCCUGCCCUUUGUACACACCGCCCGUCGCACCUACCGAUUGAAUGGUCCGGUGAAGCCUCCGGAUUGGCGCGCACCUCGGUGCCGCCGAGAAGUUGGCUAAACCUUACCAUUUAGAGGAAGGUGAAGUCGUANCA
rnacentral:rRNA from 1 species